rnacentral:rRNA from 1 species
GUCCACGCCGUAAACGUUGGGCACUAGGUGUGGGUUUCAACCAACGAAAUCCGCGCCGUCGCUAACGCAUUAAGUGCCCCGCCUGGGGAGUACGGCCGCAAGGUUAAAACUCAAAGGAAUUGACGGGGGCCCGCACAAGCAGCGGAGCGUGUUGCUUAAUUCGAUGCAACGCGAAGAACCUUACCUGGGCUUGACAUGUACGGAAAAGCCGUAGAGAUACGGUGUCCUUCGGGCCGUACACAGUGGUGCAUGGCUGUCGU